UUUGUUAGUAAAACUAUAACCUUGUAAUCUGGUCAGGUCAGAAAUGGAGCAGCCACAUCAAGAAGUAUAGUGUUUGCUAACUUUUUA
rnacentral:SRP_RNA from 1 species